GGCGUAGUCGAUGGGAAACGGGUUAAUAUUCCCGUACUUGGUGUUACUGCGAAGGGGGGACGGAGAAGGCUAUGUUGGCCGGGCGACGGUUGUCCCGGUUUAAGCGUGUAGGCUGGUUUUCCAGGCAAAUCCGGAAAAUCAAGGCUGAGGCGUGAUGACGAGGCACUACGGUGCUGAAGCAACAAAUGCCCUGCUUCCAGGAAAAGCCUCUAAGCAUCAGGUAACAUCAAAUCGUACCCCAAACCGACACAGGUGGUCAGGUAGAGAAUACCAAGGCGCUUGAGAGAACUCGGGUGAAGGAACUAGGCAAAAUGGUGCCGUAACUUCGGGAGAAGGCACGCUGACACGUAGGUGAAGUGAUUUACUCAUGGAGCUGAAGUCAGUCGAAGAUACCAGCUGGCUGCAACUGUUUAUUAAAAACACAGCACUGUGCAAACACGAAAGUGGACGUAUACGGUGUGACGCCUGCCCGGUGCCGGAAGGUUAAUUGAUGGGGUCAGCGCAAGCGAAGCUCCUGAUCGAAGCCCCGGUAAACGGCGGCCGUAACUAUAACGGUCCUAAGGUAGCGAAAUUCCUUGUCGGGUAAGUUCCGACCUGCACGAAUGGCGUAAUGAUGGCCAGGCUGUCUCCACCCGAGACUCAGUGAAAUUGAACUCGCUGUGAAGAUGCAGUGUACCCGCGGCAAGACGGAAAGACCCCGUGAACCUUUACUAUAGCUUGACACUGAACAUUGAGCCUUGAUGUGUAGGAUAGGUGGGAGGCUUUGAAGUGUGGACGCCAGUCUGCAUGGAGCCGACCUUGAAAUACCACCCUUUAAUGUUUGAUGUUCUAACGUGGACCCGUUACCCGGGUUGCGGACAGUGUCUGGUGGGUAGUUUGACUGGGGCGGUCUCCUCCUAAAGAGUAACGGAGGAGCACGAAGGUUGGCUAAUCCUGGUCGGACAUCAGGAGGUUAGUGCAAUGGCAUAAGCCAGCUUGACUGCGAGCGUGACGGCGCGAGCAGGUGCGAAAGCAGGUCAUAGUGAUCCGGUGGUUCUGAAUGGAAGGGCCAUCGCUCAACGGAUAAAAGGUACUCCGGGGAUAACAGGCUGAUACCGCCCAAGAGUUCAUAUCGACGGCGGUGUUUGGCACCUCGAUGUCGGCUCAUCACAUCCUGGGGCUGAAGUAGGUCCCAAGGGUAUGGCUGUUCGCCAUUUAAAGUGGUACGCGAGCUGGGUUUAGAACGUCGUGAGACAGUUCGGUCCCUAUCUGCCGUGGGCGCUGGAGAACUGAGGGGGGCUGCUCCUAGUACGAGAGGACCGGAGUGGACGCAUCACUGGUGUUCGGGUUGUCAUGCCAAUGGCACUGCCCGGUAGCUAAAUGCGGAAGAGAUAAGUGCUGAAAGCAUCUAAGCACGAAACUUGCCCCGAG
rnacentral:rRNA from 2 species